AUUGAACGCUGGCGGAAUGCUUUACACAUGCAAGUCGAACGGCAGCACGGGUGCUUGCACCUGGUGGCGGGUGGCGAACGGGUGAGUAACAUAUCGGAACGUGCCCAGUAAUGGGGGAUAACUAACCGAAAGGUUAGCUAAUACCGCAUACGCCCUGAGGGGGAAAGCGGGGGAUCGUAAGACCUCGCGUUAUUGGAGCGGCCGAUAUCUGAUUAGCUAGUUGGUGGGGUAAAGGCCUACCAAGGCGACGAUCAGUAGCAGGUCUGAGAGGAUGAGCUGCCACGCUGGAACUGAGACACGGUCCAGACUCCUACGGGAGGCAGCAGUGGGGAAUUUUGGACAAUGGGGGAAACCCUGAUCCAGCCAUUCCGCGUGAGUGAAGAAGGCCUUCGGGUUGUAAAGCUCUUUCGGCAGGGAAGAAACGGUUCUGGAUAAUACCCGGAGCUAAUGACGGUACCUGAAGAAGAAGCACCGGCUAACUACGUGCCAGCCGCCGCAGUAA
rnacentral:rRNA from 1 species